GGCCGCGGGAAUUCGAUUUCUGGUUGAUCCUGCCAGACCCGACUGCUAUCAGAGUGGGACUAAGCCAUGCGAGUCAACGUAGCAAUGCGUGGCGAACGGCUCAGUAACACGUAGUCAACAUGCCCAGGGGACGUGGAUAACCUCGGGAAACUGAGAUUAAACCGCGAUAGGUCAAGAUUUCUGGAAUGGAUCGUGUCUUAAAUCUACAUGGCCCCUGGAUUGGACCGCGGCCGAUCAGGCUGUUGGUGAGGUAAUGGCCCACCAAACCUAUAACCGGUACGGGCUCUGAGAGGAGAAGCCCGGAGAUGGGCACUGAGACAAGGGCCCAGGCCCUAUGGGGCGCAGCAGGCGCGAAACCUCUGCAAUGGGCGAAAGCCUGACAGGGUUACUCUGAGUGAUUUCCGCUAAGGAGAUCUUUUGGCAGCUCUAAAAAUGGUGCAGAAUAAGGGGUGGGCAAGUCUGGUGUCAGCCGCCGCGGUAAUACCAGCACCCCGAGUGGUCGGGACGAUUAUUGGGCCUAAAGCAUCCGUAGCCGGUUGUGCAAGUCCUCCGUUAAAUCCAGCCGCUCAACGGAUGGGCUGCGGAGGAUACUACAGGACUAGGAGGCGGGAGAGGCAAGCGGUACUUAGUGGGUAGGGGUAAAAUCCUUUGAUCCAUUGAAGACCACCAGUGGCGAAGGCGGCUUGCCAGAACGCGCUCGACGGUGAGGGAUGAAAGCUGGGGGAGCAAACCGGAUUAGAUACCCGGGUAGUCCCAGCUGUAAACGAUGCAGACUCGGUGAUGGGCUAGCCUCGUGUCAGCCCAGUGCCGCAGGGAAGCCGUUAAGUCUGCCGCCUGGGGAGUACGGUCGCAAGACUGAAACUUAAAGGAAUUGGCGGGGGAGCACCACAAGGGGUGAAGCCUGCGGUUCAAUUGGAUUCAACGCCGGAAAUCACUAGUGAAUUC
rnacentral:rRNA from 1 species